GACAGAGGAUGCAAGCGUUAUCCGGAAUGAUUGGGCGUAAAGCGUCCGCAGGUGGCUAUGUAAGUCUGCUGUUAAAGAGUGAGGCUCAACCUCAUAAGAGCAGUGGAAACUACAUAGCUAGAGUGCGUUCGGGGCAGAGGGAAUUCCUGGUGUAGCGGUGAAAUGCGUAGAUAUCGAGAGGAACACCUGAGGUGAAGACGGGUUGCUGGGCCGACACUGACGCUGAAGCGCGAAAGCGUGGGUAGCAAACAGG
rnacentral:rRNA from 1 species